rnacentral:tRNA from 1 species
CGGGGCGUGGCGCAGUCUGGUAGCGCACCUGCUUUGGGAGCAGGGAGUCGGAGGUUCAAAUCCUCUCGCCCCGAUCA